UAGGGAAUUUUUCGCAAUGGACGCAAGUCUGACGGAGCAAUGCCGCGUGAAGGAUGAAGGUUUUCGGAUCGUAAACUUCUGUUGUAGGGGAAGAACACUAAGGGUAGGAAAUGGCCUUUAGCUGACGGUACCCUACCAGAAAGCCACGGCUAACUACGUGCCAGCAGCCGCGGUAAUACGUAGGUGGCGAGCGUUAUCCGGAAUUAUUGGGCGUAAAGCGUAUGUAGGCGGUUUAUUAAGUUUGAUGUGAAAGCUAGUGGCCUAACCACUAAACGGCAUUGAAUACUGGUAAACUAGAAUACUGGAGAGGUAAGUGGAAUUCCAUGUGUAGCGGUGGAAUGCGUAGAUAUAUGGAGGAACACCAAUGGCGAAGGCAGCUUACUGGACAGUGAUUGACGCU
rnacentral:rRNA from 1 species